AGAAAUCGGUAGUGGGCAGUCCGGUUGAGCUGUUUCCUCCUUGCAGUCUGAGCCCUGAGGCCGCUAUUUCCCCUCUGAAAGCAGUUCCUUCACCUGCUGCGUGAGGCUUCUUUCUGUAUAGCAGGAUUUUUCCAAACGCGAGCUGUUCCUUGAGGGUAAAAGCCUUCUGAGAGAAUAGCACCAAGCUGAGAGAUAGAUGCCCCCCCAGGAGCUGCUUAUCGAACUCCGCUGGUCUGAUGAAUGCAUUUUCUCUCCUGCCUCGCCCAGUGAAAACUGAUAGCCGUGUGAUGUAACUGCCUUCUUGUGGAACUGCUCCAGUGUUUUCUCUCCGCAGGGAAAACACUGGAGAAUGGGUUGUGCAAAAUAAGAAAAGAAACCAUGAAGACAUAGGAUCCAGGAAACAAGACCUGAACCAGGAAUGAGACAAAGGGAUGUCCAGGGAGAGAAAAAGAGAGCACAAGCAAGGGGAACGGCACACAG